GAAUAUUGCACAAUGGGCGCAAGCCUGAUGCAGCAACGCCGCGUGAGGGAUGACGGCCUUCGGGUUGUAAACCUCUUUUAGUAGGGAAGAAGCGUAAGUGACGGUACCUGCAGAAAAAGCACCGGCUAACUACGUGCCAGCAGCCGCGGUAAUACGUAGGGUGCAAGCGUUGUCCGGAAUUAUUGGGCGUAAAGAGCUCGUAGGCGGCUUGUCGCGUCUGCCGUGAAAACCCAGGGCUCAACUCUGGGCGUGCGGUGGGUACGGGCAGGCUAGAGUGCGGUAGGGGAGAUUGGAAUUCCUGGUGUAGCGGUGGAAUGCGCAGAUAUCAGGAGGAACACCGAUGGCGAAGGCAGAUCUCUGGGCCGUAACUGACGCUGAGGAGCGAAAGCAUGGGGAGCGAACAG
rnacentral:rRNA from 1 species